GGGAGCGGUAGUGACACCGCCACGACUCACCGUGAACAGAGCGAGACACCCUCGCAGAUGACGCUCACGGCGUUUCAAGAGUCGGAACCCUCUUCCAGCGACGAUUGACUGGUAUUCCCCCUGUAGGGGAAGCCUCGCCGUUUACGGCGAGGAGGAUGUCACGGUAACUACUUAC
rnacentral:misc_RNA from 1 species